rnacentral:rRNA from 1 species
UACGAAGGGGGCGAGCGUUGUUCGGAUUUACUGGGCGUAAAGGGCGCGCAGGCGGCGCAUUUUGUCAGGCGUGAAAGCCCCGGGCUUAACCUGGGAACUGCGUUUGAUACGGAUGGGCUAGAGUUCGGGAGAGGAGAGUGGAAUUCCCAGUGUAGAGGUGAAAUUCGUAGAUAUUGGGAAGAACACCGGUGGCGAAGGCGGCUCUCUGGACCGAGACUAACGCUGAGGCGCGAAAGCCAGGGGAGCAAACGGG